rnacentral:rRNA from 1 species
AUUGAACGCUGGCGGCAGGCUUAACACAUGCAAGUCGAACGAGUGGCGGACGGGUGAGUAAUGUCUGGGAAACUGCCCGAUGGAGGGGGAUAACUACUGGAAACGGUAGCUAAUACCGCAUACCAUCGGAUGUGCACAGAUGGGAUUAGCUAGUAGGUGGGGUAAUGGCUCACCAAGGCGACGAUCCGUAGCUGGUCUGGGAGGACGACCAGCCAAACUGGCACUGAGACACGGCCCAGAUGCCUACGGGAGGCAUCAGUGUGGAAUAUUGUACAAUGGGCGAAAGCCUGAUCCAGCCAUCCCGCGUGUGGGAAGAAGGCCUUCGGGUUGUAAAGCAUUUUCUGCGAGGACUCGGUACUUGCAGAAGAAGCACCGGCUAACUACGUGCCAGCAGCCGCGGUAAUUC